AAUGUGGUGUAGAUUUUCCACCUACAGCACCUCUCACUUCAGACUGGCCACAUUUCAGGAGCUCGAUAGCCUCUUGUGGCUAGUGGCUGUUGCGUUGGACGAAAAAAUUCCAGACAAUCCUUGGUGGCCUUUACCUGCUACGAUAUUGAAAGGAUGUGCUGUCCAUCUUACCUGCCUUAUUUCCAACUGUUGGAUGUUUUUUUCUGACAGUAUCCAGACCUUCGUGUGAAAUAGGAAUUUCGGAGGGCCUGGCUGAGUGGUUUACCUGUUUUACGUGAUGCGUCUGGGACAGCUGGACGACUCACUUCCAGUAGGGCUUUUCACUCACAUCUGGCCUGCUCCAUGCUCCUUGGGCUCUCUCUCCCCAUGUCGUGUCUCAUCUUUCAGGGUCUGCGCAUGUAGCUUGACCUUCUUACAGCCUGGUGGUCUCAGGGUAGCUGCAUUUCUUACAUGGCGGCUGGCUUCCAAGAGGCAAGAAGUGGAAGAAGCCAGGCCAAUCCAGGGCUACGCCAAGAACGGGCAGUGGAUCAUUUCUACCACAGGAUAGUGAUCAAAGCAGGCUGGAGUCCUUCUCGGCUGAAGGAGUGGAGAAGUAGACUCCACUACUGCUGGGGGAAUGGCAAGUUCACACUGCAGAAGAGCACGUGGAGCGGGAGACACUGAUUUGAUACAGCCAUCUCUGAAAAACCCAGCUUCAUGUCACACGGCACAUGUAAAUCCAAUCGUCUUGCAUCCCAGACUCCUUGGAGCAUAUCACCAGCAGUGGUAGAAAUGACAACUGUGAUGCCUCCCUUCAUCUUCUUAAGGCUACGAGGAACAGUGGCAUAAACAUGAAGUUCAUGAUGUGUCACCGCUAGAAGAGGUUCCUAAAGGCACGAGGUGAAAGCAAUACUAAGAGAAGGGGAAAUUAGCCAAUCAGAGUGAGGCGGAGAGGCGGGGCAGACACCGGAGCUAAAUGCCCCCCCCGGGGCCUGACGGAGGCGGUCAGGGAGCAGCGAUGUUCGGAGUCAUUGACAUUUCUGGUACAGGGAACAUGCAGAAAAUAAUGGAAUUACCAAUGGUUGACUCGUCGACCUUAGAAUGCCCACUUCGGGCUGUGACGACGCUCAUUCGUGAGCUCGUUGGAAUGGCGGCUGCCCCCUCCACCGGACUGGACACUCCUGGAGACAAGGUCUGGGGCAGGUUUUGCUUGCUGUGGUAACCCCAGAGCCUAGUAGGACGUCUGACACAUGGCAGGCUUUCAGUCCAUCUUGUCAGGCUGAAGGAACACACAAGUUUAUGACAAACAAAAGUAUCUGACAAUGCACAAGGCUUUAUUUUGAACACAUGUUCUUGUUGCCUAAUCUUUGGGUGUUAAUGGUAUAGGAGGCAGCGUAUGGUAGACAAUUUAGCUUACUGGUUCAGAGCAGCCUUGAGUCCCGCCCUGCUGGGGUUCCAGUCCUGGCUUUGCUACUUACCAGCACGCAGGCUUCUAACCUCUCAGUGCCUCAGUGACUUCAUCAAUAAAAUGAGGGUAAUAAUGAUAAUGCCGGUUUUAUAGGGUUGUGGCAAGGAUUAAAUGAAUUCACACACAUAAAGCUCUUAGAACAAUGCCUUGUAAGUACCAGUGAGUAUAAAAAUGUUGGCUCUCACCACUGUUAUUGGUUAUUCAAGCUGGAAAACGGUUUUGGAUAAAUCCUUGAGUGUGCAUUGCUUUUGCUCUUUUUAAAGAAUUUAGACUAAGUGUUAAAUUUCAGCCAUGUAUGUGGUUAAUUGAGGUUUUAUUGGAGACCAUUAGUACAAAG
ensembl:lncRNA